CGGACGGGUGAGUAACGCGUGAGAAUCUGGCUUCAGGUCUGGGACAACCACUGGAAACGGUGGCUAAUACCGGAUGUGCCGAAAGGUGAAAGGUUAACUGCCUGAAGAUGAGCCCGCGUCUGAUUAGCUAGUUGGAAGUGUAAUGGACUCCCAAGGCGACGAUCAGUAGCUGGUCUGAGAGGACGAUCAGCCACACUGGGACUGAGACACGGCCCAGACUCCUACGGGAGGCAGCAGUGGGGAAUUUUCCGCAAUGGGCGAAAGCCUGACGGAGCAAUACCGCGUGAGGGAGGAAGGCUCUUGGGUCGUAAACCUCUUUUCUCAGGGAAGAACACAAUGACGGUACCUGAGGAAUAAGCAUCGGCUAACUCCGUGCCAGCAGCCGCGGUAAUACGGAGGAUGCAAGCGUUAUCCGGAAUGAUUGGGCGUAAAGCGUCCGCAGGUGGCAAUGUAAGUCUGCUGUUAAAGAGUCUAGCUCAACUAGAUAAGAGCAGUGGAAACUACAUAGCUAGAGUACGUUCGGGGCAGAGGGAAUUCCUGGUGUAGCGGUGAAAUGCGUAGAGAUCAGGAAGAACACCAGUGGCGAAGGCGCUCUGCUAGGCCGUAACUGACACUGAGGGACGAAAGCUAGGGGAGCGAAUGGGAUUAGAUACCCCAGUAGUC
rnacentral:rRNA from 1 species